AGUUCCCUUUGACAUAUAUUUAUCGACGCGUAUUCCCCAAAAUUAGAGCAUAUUUCAAGUAUUCUCAGGGCAACCGGUGGUGGCCAACUGAUCGGAUAUGCCCUUUCGUCACUUCUCCCUCGUUUUGGCGGCAGGGGCGGCUUCAAAAUGGAGGUGACAACAAAGUACAGCGAAGAUCGUUUCAACGCGGCUUUAGUGUUCUAAAAACUAGCUGGCUCAUUUCAUCUCAACGUUUUAGUGUAGUAGAGCUCCUUUUUCGAUUAGCUUGGCGGAAAAUGGAUCGACCGGCGAGGAAGAUCAACAGCGUCAAUUACUGCGAGUCCAGGGAUAUCGACAACGACGAUGAGGACUUUGCCUGCGUGAAGCCCCCGCCUGGCAAGAAACCCAAACAACAGGAGCACAGGAACACAUCCAGCCAAGAGGCAACCCAGGCGAGCCACAAAAGCAGAAAGGAUCUGGAGGCAGCAAUUACGCUUUCCUUGCUCACUAACAGUAACACAGACUGGACAAAGCAAGCGCCUACUGCCAGUCGAGGUGACGAGAACACAGACCCCGCUUCCCUGCACCGCUCCAACUGUAGUGUGGACCCGUCGCUUUUUGGCUUGGAUGAAAUCUCCUCCUCCGGUCAGACGAACACCAAAGAGGAGCAAAGGAGACGCCCUCGCGACGCCGACUACGAGCCCGAACUGUCAGCAGAUUCGGAGAGCGAGGAGGCGUCCGGCGAGGACGAGGAGUUCACUGGGAACAAGAAGAGCUGCAAAAAGAAGGAGAGCGACCAACGCAAAGCUCGCAAGCGUCCCGUCUGCAAGCAGGAAAGACAACCGCCCAAGUUGAAAGCGCAACCCAGGACAGGUUUGCGAGUUCACUUUGACUUGUUAGCUUUUACAGCCGACGACAGCAGAAGUCCGCCAGUCAUUGGCGCACCCCAAAAAGGGUUAAAUUUGCCUACAAAUGCCACAAGAUGGCGGCAAAGCACUCUUUAUCUAAAGGAAGCGCCUCAACUCACUUUGACACCGAGAUGCCACAACAUAGCAGCAAAGUACUACUUUUGUCGAAAUCAAGCUCCUCAACCCCAACAUAGUUCCUCGGCACCAAGAUGCCGGCAAAGGAAUACUUUUGUCGUUGGUUGCUCUAUUUUUUUUUCAGCAUUAAAUAAAUAGUCAACAUGUCAUUGAAGCGUCUGCGGCGUCGCCCACGCCGAGAAGCCCCCCGACGCUUAAGCCCGCCGUGCCCAAAGCGCAAGUCUCGUUCAGUCCGACAGGAAGCAGGAUUCCCAAAUGGAACCCGCCAGGUCAAAUCGGAAAAAGUCCGUCUUCAUCCCAAAGU